rnacentral:rRNA from 1 species
UGCCAGCAGCCGCGGUAAGACGAACCGACCGAACGUUAUUCGGAAUUACUGGGCUUAAAGGGUGCGUAGGCGGCCUUGUAAGUCAGAUGUGAAAUCCCACGGCUCAACCUGGGAACUGCAUUCGAUACUGGCAGACUAGAGUGCGGGAGAGGGAGGUAGAAUUCCGAGUGUAGAGGUGAAAUUCGUAGAUAUUCGGAGGAACACCAGUGGCGAAGGCGGCUCACUGGCUCGAUACUGACGCUGAGGUGCGAAAGCGUGGGGAGCAAACAGGAUUAGAUA